rnacentral:rRNA from 1 species
GAUGAACGCUGGCGGCGUGCCUAAUACAUGCAAGUCGAGCGAACAGACGAGGAGCUUGCUCCUCUGACGUUAGCGGCGGACGGGUGAGUAACACGUGGAUAACCUACCUAUAAGACUGAGAUAACUUCGGGAAACCGGAGCUAAUACCGGAUAAUAUAUUGAACCGCAUGGUUCAAUAGUGAAAGACGGUUUUGCUGUCACUUAUAGAUGUAUCCGCGCCGCAUUAGCUAGUUGGUAAGGUAACGGCUUACCAAGGCGACGAUGCGUAGCUGACCUGAGAGGGUGAUCGGUCACACUGGAACUGAGACACGGUCCAGACUCCUACGGGAGGCAGCAGUGGGGAAUAUUCGGCAAUGGGCGAAAGCCUGAUCGAGCCAUGCCGCGUGUGUGAAGAAGGUCUUCGGAUCGUAAAGCACUUUAAGUUGGGAAGAAGAACAGUAAGUUAAUACAUUCCUGUCUUGACGUUACCAACAGAGAAAGCCCCGGCUAACUUCGUG